rnacentral:rRNA from 1 species
ACGGGAGGCAGCAGUGGGGAAUAUUGGGCAAUGGGCGAAAGCCUGACCCAGCAACGCCGCGUGAAGGAAGAAGGCCUUCGGGUUGUAAACUUCUUUUAUGUGGGAAGAUAAUGACGGUACCACAUGAAUAAGCCACGGCUAACUACGUGCCAGCAGCCGCGGUAAUACGUAGGUGGCGAGCGUUGUCCGGAUUUACUGGGUGUAAAGGGCGCGUAGGCGGGAUGGCAAGUCAGAUGUGAAAUCCCCGGGCUUAACCCGGGAACUGCAUUUGAAACUGUCGUUCUUGAGUAUCGGAGAGGCAAGCGGAAUUCCUAGUGUAGCGGUGAAAUGCGUAGAUAUUAGGAGGAACACCAGUGGCGAAGGCGGCUUGCUGGACGACAACUGACGCUGAGGCGCGAAAGCGUGGGGAGCAAACAGGAUUAGAUACCCUGGUA